ensembl:lncRNA
AUUAAAUAUAUUGCACAUGCUUGGCCUAUGAUAAGUUGUGUUCAUGUAUUCAUUUCACAAACCUUGAUGAUCCAGCAAGUUUUUCCUGAGAAAGUGAGAUCUGAGCAGAGAUCUGAAAGAUCAACAUUCUUGGAUGGUUUCUCUUUUCUCUCAGUGCUGCUUGACAAGCUGGAGAACAGUCGAGGAGAGGAAUGAGUAUUUCUGACUUUUGGAAAUAGAUCGAUGCUCUAUAAGAUUCGGGCGCUGGGAUUUCUUAGAAGAAUCUGUUUGGUGCCAAUGAGGAAUUCAGAGCUGUGCUACGAUCAAUUUAGAGGACAACGAAAGAAGCAUAAAUGAG